rfam:Pteropus alecto contig66836, whole genome shotgun sequence.
GCCUACGGCCACGCCACCCUGAACAAGCCCGAUCCCGUCUGAUCUCGGAAGCUAAGCAGGGUCGGGCCUGGUUAGCACUUGGAUGGGAGACCACCUAGGAAGACCAGGCGCUGAAGGUG